rnacentral:ncRNA from 1 species
CUAGCCUCUGGGUGUCGCUGCCACUUCAGCGACCGGACGUGAGAAUCCGAACA